GCGUCCUUCACGACGGUGUUGUGAGGAUGCGUUAGUCGACCGUGUUCUGUUUGACGUACCCAGUCUGUGCGUAGAACUCUGUAUUGAAGGCUUUGCUUAGGCAAUCGUGGGACUUAAAAUGAUUUUAAAUUUUACCUGAAUAUUUUAAUAGUAGAACAGAACAGACAAGUUGUGGCAGGCAUCAAGUAACUGUGUAAAAAGCAGUGAAAAUGCACACCGAAUACCUUUCGCCAAGAACUUCCAGCAUACAAAGCAUCACGGAUGGCGAGAGAGAUGGGCCGCUGACGCAGCAUUUACGAUGGUGGCUGAAACACAUUUCACCUGGACGCUUGAACAACCAAACCCACCGACUGCUAAUGUUUAUAAGAGGCAGCAAGGUUGGAAUGUUUGUCAGUAUCAACGUACUGACCUUAGCCAUCGCUGACGCCUGUCUAUCUGGGUCUGUAUUCAAAAGCCCAGUUCUUGCUCGUUUUGGUUUGGGCGUGUAUUCGUGUCUGUGGUCGCAAUUGGUGUUCCUCAGCCGCACACAGCCUCUGCUUGCGUGUCUCCGAAGGCUAAUAGGCCUUACGACAGAGUUUGAACGCCACGGCACAGCAACUGACCUACUGG